UGGUACAGAUACGAAACAGAAAACAACUACCCACAACUCAAGGGCGAAACCAGGCUGCCUAAGUAUGGUUCUCAAUCAGAGACAACGAUUGACAGCUGCCUCUGAUUGGGAACCAUACCAGGCCAAACACAUAGAAAUACAAACAUAGAACAAAACAUAGACAGCCCACCCCAACUCACGCCCUGACCAACCUAAAAUAGAGACAUAAAAAAGGAACUAAGGUCAGGACGUGGCAUGUAAUUUGAUUUCAAUGGAAAAAGUAAAUCUGGGGUGGGGUGGGGGGGUAGGUGGGGGUGGGGGGAUUGGAGGGCAAAAUGAGUCUGAAGUAGCCAAUCCCACCCACCCUAGCCAAUCCAAAAUGCAUCAUUAGCAUUACAAAGAAAGCACACAAUACAGGCAACGCAUUCUGAACCAAUAACUAUAAACGUGGACAUUUCUAUUGUAGCAUCAUCAUUGUCUGCUUCACAUGAACGCUGAGAGAGCCAUCCCCCAGAUGUAAUACAUUAGAAUGCAUGCUCCUUCUUGGGCUGAAAAACAAACCAAUGAAGUUCCUCUGUUGUGUGUGUCUCAAGUCAGAGAGGACAACUCCUCAGAGGAUAAUGGAGGCUCCUGGAAGAAGGACCUUUGUCGCUCUGUGUUUCUACACUGCACUACUUACUCUCUCAGGUAAGAGGAAGAAGAGACACACAUGUUAAUUGAAUGUCAUUUCAGGAGAAAUUCAUUAAAUGUUUUGCGAGUGUAACCAAAAGCGUUACAAUCAACAUCAACAUUGCCAAUUAUCUUUCAUUAGUUGGAUCCUCAUCGAGCCACUAGACUGUAUUUGAUUUGAUCAGUUAUUACGCGCAUGAUAGAAUGGUACUUCUUUAAUCAUAGUGUUUAGGACAGAGAUACCCCUAUGCAUGUGUGUUAGGACAGAGAUACCCCUAUGCAUGUGUGUUAGGACAGAGAUAUGCAUGUGUGUUAGGACAGAGAUACCCCUAUACAUGUGUGUUAAUGCAAAGUGUUGAUGUUCGUGUUGGUCCACAAGGAUUCUAUGGUGGUUGACUAAGUUGUUACUACGUAGGUAUGUUAGAUUACAGUAGCUACCGAUAUUUAUUAUCUGAUUGCAUGUGUUCAAAUGCGUUUUUUGGUUGGACUUUUAUGGUCGUAAUGAGGGGGA
rnacentral:lncRNA from 13 species